CCCCACCCCCGGCCGGGGCCGCCCCGCCUCUAGCAGCACAGAAAUAUUGGCCCUCGUGGGGUUUGGACCCUGGCCAGUAUUCGUUGUGCUGCCCCAGGCGGGGCGGUGCGAGCAGCGGGGGACCCC
rnacentral:precursor_RNA from 13 species